rnacentral:rRNA from 1 species
AGAGUUUGAUCCUGGCUCAGGAUGAACGCUGGCGGCGUGCCUAAUACAUGCAAGUCGAACGCACAGCGAAAGGUGCUUGCACCUUUCAAGUGAGUGGCGAACGGGUGAGUAACACGUGGACAACCUGCCUCAAGGCUGGGGAUAACAUUUGGAAACAGAUGCUAAUACCGAAUAAAACUCAGUGUCGCAUGACACAAAGUUAAAAGGCGCUUUGGCGUCACCUAGAGAUGGAUCCGCGGUGCAUUAGUUAGUUGGUGGGGUAAAGGCCUACCAAGACAAUGAUGCAUAGCCGAGUUGAGAGACUGAUCGGCCACAUCGGGACUGAGACACGGCCCAAACUCCUACGGGAGGCUGCAGUAGGGAAUCUUCCACAAUGGGCGAAAGCCUGAUGGAGCAACGCCGCGUGUGUGAUGAAGGCUUUCGGGUCGUAAAGCACUGUUGUAUGGGAAGAACAGCUAGAAUAGGGAAUGAUUUUAGUUUGACGGUACCAUACCAGAAAGGGACGGCUAAAUACGUGCCAGCAGCCGCGGUAAUACGUAUGUCCCGAGCGUUAUCCGGAUUUAUUGGGCGUAAAGCGAGCGCAGACGGUUGAUUAAGUCUGAUGUGAAAGCCCGGAG